GACUGCGGAGGAUCAUUAUCUUCGGUGGUUUUCCACUGUAUUGAGGGGGACUUCGGUCCCUUCUCUCCACCCUUGUCUUUUGCGUACCUAUGUUUCCUCGGCGGGCUUGCCCGCCGGUUGGACAAACUUAUAACCUUUUUAAUUUUCAAUCAGCGUCUGAAAAAACUUAAUAAUUACAACUUUCAACAACGGAUCUCUUGGUUCUGGCAUCGAUGAAGAACGCAGCGAAAUGCGAUAAGUAGUGUGAAUUGCAGAAUUCAGUGAAUCAUCGAAUCUUUGAACGCACAUUGCGCCCCUUGGUAUUCCAUGGGGCAUGCCUGUUCGAGCGUCAUUUGUACCCUCAAGCUUUGCUUGGUGUUGGGUGUUUGUCCUCUCCUUUGUGUUUGGACUCGCCUUAAAAUAAUUGGCAGCCAGUGUUUUGGUAUUGAAGCGCAGCACAAUUUGCGAUUCUAUCCUAUAGCUCUAGCGUCCAUAAAGCCUAUUUUACACUUUUGACCUCGGAUCAGGUAGGGAUACCCGCUGAACUUAAGCAUAUCAAUAAGCGGAGGA
rnacentral:rRNA from 1 species